GUAGGGAAUCUUCGGCAAUGGACGAAAGUCUGACCGAGCAACGCCGCGUGAGUGAAGAAGGUUUUCGGAUCGUAAAACUCUGUUGGUAGAGAAGAACGUUGGUGAGAGUGGAAAGCUCAUCAAGUGACGGUAACUACCCAGAAAGGGACGGCUAACUACGUGCCAGCAGCCGCGGUAAUACGUAGGUCCCGAGCGUUGUCCGGAUUUAUUGGGCGUAAAGCGAGCGCAGGUGGUUUAUUAAGUCGGGUGUAAAAGGCAGUGGCUCAACCAUUGUAUGCAUUGGAAACUGGUAGACUGGAGUGCAGGAGAGGAUAGUGGAAUUCCAUGUGGAGCGGUGAAAUGCGUAGAUAUAUGGAGGAACACCGGUGGCGAAAGCGGCUCUCUGGCGUGUAACUGACGCUGAGGCUCGAAAGCGUGGGGAGCAAACAGGAUUAGAAACCCCGGUAGUCC
rnacentral:rRNA from 1 species